rnacentral:rRNA from 1 species
UACGUAGGGUCCGAGCGUUGUCCGGAAUUACUGGGCGUAAAGAGCUCGUAGGUGGCUUGGCGCGUUGUUCGUGAAAACUCACAGCUCAACUGUGGGCGUGCGGGGGAUACGGGCAGGCUGGAGUACUGCAGGGGAGACUGGAAUUCCUGGUGUAGCGGUGGAAUGCGCAGAUAUCGGGAGGAACACCGGUGGCGAAGGCGGUUCUCUGGGCCUUACCUGACGCUGAGGAGCGAAAGCGUGGGGAGCGAACAGG